AACGCUGGCGGCGCGCUUAACACAUGCAAGUCGAACGAGAAAGUGGAGCAAUCCAUGAGUAAAGUGGCGUACUGGUGAGUAACACGUGGGUAAUCUACCUCUGGGUGGGGAAUAACUCUGGGAAACCGGAGCUAAUACCGCAUAAGCCUGUAAAGGGAAAGGCGAAAGUCGCCGAGAGAGGAGCCCGCGGCUGAUUAGCUAGUUGGUGGGGUAAGAGCUCACCAAGGCUGAGAUCGGUAGCCGGCCUGAGAGGGCACACGGCCACACUGGCACUGAAACACGGGCCAGACUCCUACGGGAGGCAGCAGUGGGGAAUCUUGCACAAUGGGGGAAACCCUGAUGCAGCGACGCCGCGUGAGCGAUGAAGCCCUUCGGGGUGUAAAGCUCUUUCGGCAGGGACGAUAAUGACGGUACCUGCAGAAGA
rnacentral:rRNA from 1 species